rnacentral:lncRNA from 1 species
UGUACGUUUCUAAAACAUUCAUAUAUAUUUUAACUAAUCAUCAACAUAUCACGUAUUGCUCACGGACGUUCCUGUGUCCAGAUAACGACAAGAAUCACGUUAUACUUAUUAAUCCUCGAUGUCUCGAUUGAAUAAUUAAUAUAACGGCUAAAUUGUAUUAUUUAAACUCCGAUGUCUCGAAACAUUUGAAUANNNNNNNNNNNNNNNNNNNNGUGAAUAUUAAAAACCUAAAUCUAUGUCUAGAGUUUUAGGAUUUUUAAUAAGUGAUUAUCUUUUCCAUUUGAUUCAAAGUGAAAUAUGUCUAUAACAAUUCAAAUCUUAAAGAUAAACAUGUAAAUCAAAGAUAACACUAAGUUGAUGAUAAAUUAAAACAUAUAUAACAUGAUUAAGAGUUGUACAUAUUUAUGAAUGAGCUACACCUAAUCCCAACAACAAAAGAUUUAGCCACUCAUUGUCAUGGUGGUAAACUUACAAAUGUGGAAAGAGGAACAAAGAGUGCACAUCAAUCCCUUGAUCUCUCAAGUUGGAUGGAUCCACCUUUUCUUGCCUAUGACCUAAGCUUAAUUCUAAUUUAAGUGCUCUGUCUUUGAACUCUCUGAAU